rnacentral:rRNA from 1 species
UACGUAGGGUGCAAGCGUUUAAUCGGAAUUACUGGGCGUAAAGCGUGCGCAGGCGGUUUUGUAAGUCUGUCGUGAAAUCCCCGGGCUUAACCUGGGAACUGCAUUGGUGACUGCAUUGCUGGAGUAUGGCAGAGGGGGGUGGAAUUCCACGUGUAGCAGUGAAAUGCGUAGAGAUGUGGAGGAACACCGAUGGCGAAGGCAGCCCCCUGGGCCAAUACUGACGCUCAUGCACGAAAGCGUGGGGAGCAAACAGG